AUUGAACGCUAGCGGGAGGCUUUACACAUGCAAGUCGAACGAGCGGCGGACGGGUGAGUAAUGUAUGGGAACGUGCCCGGUAGAGGGGGAUAACUACUGGAAACGGGGCUAAUACCGCAUACUAUUGGAUAGGCCCAUAUCGGAUUAGCUAGUUGGUGGGGUAAAGGCUCACCUAGGCGACGAUCCGUAGCUGGUCUGAGAGGAUGACCAGCCACACUGGGACUGAGACACGGCCCAGACUCCUACGGGAGGCAGCAGUGGGGAAUUUUGGACAAUGGGCGAAAGCCUGAUCCAGCCAUGCCGCGUGUAUGAGGAAGGCCUUAGGGUUGGAAAGUACGUUUUGCGGGGAGGCGGUAUCGGCAGAAUAAGCACCGGCUAACUACGUGCCAGCAGCCGCGGUAAUAC
rnacentral:rRNA from 1 species